UACAGAGGGUGCGAGCGUUAAUCGGAAUUACUGGGCGUAAAGGGCGCGUAGGCGGUUGUUGACGUGCGAUGUGAAAGCCCUGGGCUUAACCUAGGAAGUGCAUCGCAAACGAAAUGACUAGAGUAUAAGAGAGGGUGGCGGAAUUUCCGGUGUAGCGGUGAAAUGCGUAGAGAUCGGAAGGAACGUCAAUGGCGAAGGCAGCCACCUGGCUUAAUACUGACGCUGAGGCGCGAAAGCGUGGGGAUCAAACAGG
rnacentral:rRNA from 1 species